GGGGAAAUUCUAAUGUUGGUAAUUAGAACUGAAUUGUAAUUUUAGUGCCUUUGUUCUGCGAUAGUUCGAUUCUAUUUUUCUUCA
rnacentral:tRNA from 1 species